rnacentral:rRNA from 1 species
CCUACGGGAGACAGCAGUGAGGAAUAUUGGUCAAUGGGCGCGAGCCUGAACCAGCCAAGUCGCGUGAAGGAUGACUGCCCUACGGGUUGUAAACUUCUUUUGUAAAGGAAUAAUGUGAGGCACGUGUGCCUUUUUCUAUGUACUUUAUGCAUAAGGAUCGGCUAACUCCGUGCCAGGAGCCGCGGUAAUACGGAGGAGCCGAGCGGUAUCCGGAUGUGUUGGGUUUAACGGGAGCGUAGAGGGGUGGUUAAGUCAGUUGGGAAAGUUUGCGGCUCAACCGUAAAAGGGCAGUGGAUACUGGCAGGCGUGAGUAGGGGAGAGGGGGGCGGAAUGCGUGGUGUAGCGGUGAAAUGCGGAGAUAUCGCGAAGAACGGCGAUUGCGAAGGCAGCUUACUAGACUGCGACUGA